UUUUUCUAUUGCUAUCUAUGGUGUUGGCUGUUUCUCUCAACCCGUUCCCAUCACCAAAACCGUUAUGGCUUGGGGCUCGACUCAUCUUGGGUGCAUCUGGGAUCAUCUUUCCAAUUAUCAAGUCGGAAGGAGUUCGACAAAUGUACUUCCCAGCAAUGGUUGCAGCAUACUACAAAGCUCCUCAAGUUGCUUAAUCAUCAAUCAUAUCUUGAGUUUUUAAUGUUGGAAUGGUAUUGGAAGUAGGGUCCUAAUCUUCAUUUGGGGAGGUUGUGAUUAUUGUUUGGUUUGAAGGUUUUUGGAUUUAGGUAUAUGCAAUGCCUAAAGAAGAUGAAUUGGUUAUUAUUGUUUGUUGCUUAUAGACUUAAAAUGAGAGUUUGUGUUUCGAAGUUAUGUGUAGUAACGAAUGUAUUAGCUGCGAUUGUGUUUGUGAAAUUUCUGAUUAAU